CACGCCGUAAACGAUGAAUACUAGGUGUGGGGGGCUAAGCCCUCUGUGCCGCAGUUAACACAUUAAGUAUUCCGCCUGGGGAGUACGAUCGCAAGAUUAAAACUCAAAGGAAUUGACGGGGGCCCGCACAAGCAGCGGAGCAUGUGGUUUAAUUCGAUGCAACGCGAAGAACCUUACCAAGGCUUGACAUCUAAAGAAUCUAAUAGAGAUAUUGGAGUGCCCCGAAAGGGGAGCUUUAAGACAGGUGG
rnacentral:rRNA from 1 species